AAAUACACCAGGAAUGGGAUAGCAGGGCCUCCUCGGAGGCAUGGACAAAGAAAAGUACCUGAGUUGGGUGCAUGGAAGCACUGUCUUCCUCCCAGUUUUCGUUGCCCCUAGAGUUCUUUCAUUCUGGGUCUGGGUGCCACCACUCACCAAACCAAAGGAAAACUAGUACACAUGCCUAUGAAACAGCUAGGCCCAAGGAAGGGUCUUUUCUACCCUCACAGUAGCAACUAGCAGGGUUUAGUUACUCAGCACCCCAAUUACCUAGCUCUGUUCCACUGGGGCUCCAGGGGCCUGACCUAGGGCCCCCUUGCUCCUUCUCCUCGAAUUCCUCUUUCCCCACACAUAGUUGGGCUGGGGGCUCUGGGGUGGGACUAGACGUGUAUUUGUGGAGAAAUGAGUGUCAAGGGCUAGGCUGCCUCCUUCAGCAGCCACAUGCGCUCCAUGGGCAGACAGACCAGGCCAGCUGGCCGUUCUCUCAGGCUUCUGGGAGAGGGAGUGCCUCAGGGGCCAUGCGGGGGACUGAGGUGCUAAUGUUCUGAGUAGCCCCACCUGUGCCCACAGUGAAGUGAAGCUCUCAGUCGUCACCUACCUAACCAACUCCAUAGUGGAUGAGAUCCUGCAAGAGCUCUACCAUUCCCACAAGAGCCUGGCCCGGCACCUGACCCAGCUAAGGACGCUGUCAGAUCCACCAGGGUGCCCAGGCCAAGGGCAGGAUCUGUCCUCCCGGGGCCGAGGCCGGAACCAUGACCAUGAGGAGACCACAGAUGAUGAACUUGGGACCAACAUUGUGAGCCCCCCGCUCCCUGCUCCUCCUUAAUAACCUGGGCCCUGCCCUUAAACCUGCACAACACUGUCCCCUUCCACUGAUCUGUACUCCCCUGGCCACCUCACUGUGCCUGGCCUUCUGCCUCCAAUCCCAAUCCAGCCCAACCUCUUCCCUCAUCCCAGUGCCUCAGCCCCCUGAGGAGCGAGGGGCAGGAUGGGCUCAAAUAAGGUUUCAUGAGGAAUGGAUGGCUCUGGGUGAGGUGCCUGGCCCUGCCACUCGUCUUCAUUUCUGCAGGACACCAUGGCCAUCAAAAAGCAGAAACGCUGCCGCAAGAUCCGGCCGGUGUCUGCCUUCAUCAGCGGGAGCCCUCAGGACAUGGAAAGCCAACUGGGGAAUCUGGGGAUCCCCCCUGGCUGGUUCUCAGGACUUGGGGGCAGCCAGCCCACAGCUAGUGGCUCCUGGGAAGGUCUAUCUGAGCUGCCCACUCAUGGUUACAAACUAAGGCAUCAAACACAAGGGAGGCCCCGCCCCCCCAGGACCACACCUCCAGGACCUGGUCGACCCAGUAUGCCAGCACCUGGGACUCGUCAGGAGAAUGGGAUGGCCACCCGCCUGGAUGAAGGGCUGGAGGACUUCUUCAGCCGAAGGGUCAUGGAGGAAAGUUCUAGCUACCCCCGGACUCUGAGGACCGUGCGGCCAGGACUCUCGGAGGCACCGCUGCCUCCACUCCAGAAGAAGAGGCGCCGGGGCCUGUUCCACUUUCGCCGGCCCCGGAGCUUCAAGGGGGACAGGGGGCCAGGGUCCCCCACCACUGGACUCCUCCUCCCUCCACCCCCACCCCCUCCCCCGACUCAGGAGAGCCCCCCUAGCCCAGACCCCCCAAGCCUCGGCAAUAACUCCUCUCCCUGCUGGAGCCCAGAGGAGGAGAGCAGCCUCCUCCCUGGAUUUGGUGGGGGCCGGGGACCUUCCUUCCGCAGGAAGAUGGGCCCAGGCCCAGACCAGGAGGGCAGCACCCAGGCCUGGCAGAAACGGCGCUCUUCAGACGACGCAGGGCCUGGAUCCUGGAAGCCCCUACCACCGCCCCAAAGCACCAAACCAAGCUUCAGCGCCAUGCGCAGAGCAGAGGCCACAUGGCACAUAGCUGAAGAGAGUGCCCCCAACCACAGCUGCCAGAGUCCCAGCCCAGCCUCCCAAGAUGGGGAAGAGGAGAAGGAGGGGACCCUCUUCCCAGAGAGGACACUUCCAGCUAGGAAUGCCAAGCUACAGGACCCUGCUCUAGCUCCACGGCCUCCCAAGCCAGUGGCUGUGCCCAGGGGCCGCCGGCCUCCCCAGGAGCCAGGGGUCAGGGAGGAGGCUGAGGCUGGAGAUGCAGCUCCAGGAGUCAACAAACCCCGGCUGAGGCUGAGCUCACAGCAAGACCAAGAGGAGCCCGAAGUCCAAGGGCCCCCUGAUCCAGGCCGGCGGACUGCCCCCCUGAAGCCCAAGAGGACACGGCGGGCACAGUCCUGUGACAAGCUGGAACCUGAUAGAAGACGGCCUCCUGACCCCACAGGAACCAGUGAGCCAGGAACAGACUGACAACUGCCACAACACCCUCCUCAGCCCUCGACAUGUGCCUCGCAAGGACUCAGACCCCUAUCCACCCCCAGUCCCCAGGGCCCCCUGCCAGCCCCUGUCCUACAGGGGCAAGACGGCAGGACCAGGCAUGGGGGAGCUGGAGGCAGGGACUAGAACAGAGGGAGCCACCUGGAGAGACGGAGGCUGUCAAUGCCUGCCUCGAUACCUCUCUCUGCAGAGAGCUUCUGGGUGGGGGCUCAUCUCCUCCCCCAGGAGGGUGGAUCUCUGUCCCUCUAUCCCCAGGGACUCUCUCCCCUCUUGUAUAGAAUAAAAAAACAAAA
rnacentral:sRNA from 1 species